AGGCAGGGAGCCUGCCCUGCCCCCGGUGCGCGCCGGGCCAGAGCCGCUCUAGGAACCAGCUCUAACAAAAAUUCAGUCCGAGCAUUGGGAAUCUAUCACAACUAGCUUGUACAUCCUCAAAUCUUAAUAUAGCAAGAAAGAAGUCAUCUACCUCUCCCCUCCCUACAUCAAAUAAUGCUCAAGUGAAAGGGCAAGAUAGAAUAUUUGCAGAAUGACAGAUGAUCUAAAGCUCCAAUCCUAUGUUAACUUCAAUGGGAGCACUGGAUGUGCAGGAGAUGCAAAAUCACAUCUUGAGUUAGGAAUUAAAAUAAAAAUUCAUCAUAACUUGACAGCAUAUAAAAAAAAUUAAGGUCUGGAUCACCCUAUAUCAGUGGUUCCCAAACUUUAACAACCUGUGAAUCCCUUUAACUAAAAUGUCCAGUCUCGCGAACCCGCUCCUAAAAAUGAAUAUUUCCAGGGAUUUUCUCCUUUACCUGAGUAUAAAUUAUAAAAGCAGUGAUCUUGGAAAUAUAAAAUUUGUUUUUAU